CAUAAACCUCCAGAACAACACGACACCAAUAAAGUUUUUACUGUAGAGUCCAUAAAACACAGAGGCAUUAAAGCUUUUCAUUGGCCUGUUAAUACAUGUUUACUGUGUCUUUACUGUGUGUGUGUGUGUCUUUACUGUGUGUGUGUGUGUUUGCUGUGUGUGUUAAUGUGAGAUACCUUCAGGCUGUUGACUCUAAACAUCUCACGCUGCUAGUCACUGUGUUGUUUCCGUCGGAGGUGUCGUGAGGACAUUAGGUGUUGUGAGAACGGUCGGAGGUGUCGUGAGAACAGUAGGAGGUGUCUUAAGGACGGUAGGUGGUGUCGUGAGACGGUCUGAGGGUGUUGUGAGGACGGUAGGAGGUGUCGUGAGGACGGUCUGAGGGUGUUGUGAGGACGGUAGGAGGUGUCUUAAGGACGGUAGGAGGUGUCGUGAGGACAUUAGGUGUCGUGAGAACGGUCGGAGGUGUCGUGAGAACAGUAGGAGGUGUCUUAAGGACGGUAGGUGGUGUCGUGAGAACGGUCUGAGGGUGUCGUGAGGAUGGUAGGAGGUGUCUUAAGGACAGUAGGAGGUGUCGUGAGGACGGUAGGAGGUGUCUUAAGGACAGUAGGAGGUGUCGUGAGAACGGUCGGAGGUGUCGUGAGAACAGUAGGAGGUGUCUUAAGGACGGUAGGUGGUGUCGUGAGAACGGUCUGAGGGUGUCGUGAGGAUGGUAGGAGGUGUCUUAAGGACAGUAGGAGGUGUCGUGAGGACGGUAGGAGGUCGUGAGGACAGUCAGAGGUGUCGUGAGGACAGUAGGUGGUGUCGUGAGGACGGUAGGUGGUGUCAUGAGGACGGUAGGAGGUCGUGAGACAGUCAGAGGUGUCGUGAGGACGGAAGGAGGUGUCGUGAGGACGGAAGGAGGUGUCGUGAGGACGGUAGGAGGUGUCUUAAGGACGGUAGGUGGUGUCGUGAGGACGGUAGGUGGUGUCGUGAGACAGUCAGACGUGUCGUGAGGACGGUAGGAGGUCGUGAGACAGUGAGACGUGUUGUGAGGACGGUAGGAGGUGUCGUGAGGACGGUAGGAGGUCGUGAGGACAGUCAGAGGUGUCGUGAGGACGGUAGGUGGUGUCGUGAGGACGGUAGGUGGUGUCAUGAGGACGGUAGGAGGUCGUGAGACAGUCAGAGGUGUCGUGAGGACGGAAGGUGGUGUCGUGAGGACGGUAGGAGGUGUCUUAAGGACGGUAGGUGGUGUCGUGAGGACGGUAGGUGGUGUCGUGAGACAGUCAGACGUGUCGUGAGGACGGUAGGAGGUCGUGAGACAGUGAGACGUGUUGUGAGGACGGUAGGAGGUCGUGAGACAGUGAGACGUGUCGUGAGGACAGUCAGAGGUGUCGUGAGACAGUAAGAGGUGUUGUGAGGACAGUAGGAGGUGUUGAGAGACAGUCAGACGUGUCAUGAGGACGGUAGGAGGUGUCUUAAGGACGGUAGGUGGUGUUGUGAGGACGGUAGGAGGUCGUCAGACAGUCAGAGGUGUCGUGAGACAGUGAGACGUGUCGUCAGACAGUCAGAGGUGUCGAGAGACAGUGAGAGGUGUUGUGAGGACAGUAGGAGGUGUCGAGAGACAGUCAGACGUGUCAUGAGGACGGUAGGAGGUGUCUUAAGGACGGUAGGUGGUGUCAUGAGGACGGUAGGAGGUCGUCAGACAGUCAGAGGUGUCGAGAGACAGUCAGACGUGUCGUGAGACAGUCAGAGGUGUCAUGAGGACGGUAGGAGGUCGUCAGACAGUCAGAAGUGUCGAGAGACAGUCAGAGGUGUCGUGAGACAGUCAGACGUGUCGUGAGGACGGUAGGAGGUCGUUUUCUUGGGUGAAGCCCUGAGCUGAAGCGUCUGAGCGUGCUCAGUAGCUCAGUGGUGGUGUUGCAUUUAAAGCCUGCUGUGUCUCUGGAUGUCUCCUCUCAUGCAGACGCUGCAGGGAGACUCACUCUGUGCUGUGAUUAAAGCGUUUGAUUCUCUGGCCGGAGGUCAGAUACAAACACAGCAGUUUGUUUCUGCGUGUGAAGGCUGGAGAUGUUUCUCUGCAGCUGCAGGAGCUGAAUCAGUAAACGGAGGCCUGAAGCUGCUGCCGACUGAGCUUCAAACACACAAAGAAAACAGAAGCAGCUACAGAACAAUCAGUUUUCAUUGGUAAGAAAAGCUGCUGCAGUUUCUGAGGACGUGAAGUAACAGGAAGUCCAACUUUGACUUACUGUCUGAUUAUAUCACAAUAUUAUCUUUUAUUACCUCACAAUUUUAAAGUUAGAAGUUUUUGUGUUUUUUGUUUAUACUUUUUUGUAUUCAUCUCAUCUUUGACUUAUUACAUUUUUUUUUAGUUUUAGCUUUCUCAAUUAUUAAUAAAUGCUUAUAUUUUCAUAUUUGUUGUAAUUAUCUAUUAUUUUUUACUUAAUACCUCAAAUGUUUGGCUUCUCCAAUAAUAUUUUAAUUGUUUAAUGUUUUUUUUCACUAAGUAUCUCAAGAGUCUUUCUAUCAGUGUUCAAUUACCAUUUUAUUACCUUAUUUUUA